AUGAACGCUGGCGGCGUGCCUAAUCCCUGCAAGUCGAGCGAACAGACGAGGAGCUUGCUCCUCUGACGUUAGCGGCGGACGGGUGAGUAACACGUGGAUAACCUACCUAUAAGACUGGGAUAACUUCGGGAAACCGGAGCUAAUACCGGAUAAUAUAUUGAACCGCAUGGUUCAAUAGUGAAAGACGGUUUUGCUGUCACUUAUAGAUGGAUCCGCGCCGCAUUAGCUAGUUGGUAAGGUAACGGCUUACCAAGGCAACGAUGCGUAGCCGACCUGAGAGGGUGAUCGGCCACACUGGAACUGAGACACGGUCCAGACUCCUACGGGAGGCAGCAGUAGGGAAUCUUCCGCAAUGGGCGAAAGCCUGACGGAGCAACGCCGCGUGAGUGAUGAAGGUCUUCGGAUCGUAAAACUCUGGUAUUAGGGAAGAACAAAUGUGUAAGUAACUAUGCACGUCUUGACGGUACCUAAUCAGAAAGCCACGGCUAACUACGUG
rnacentral:rRNA from 1 species